CAUAGACUGUAUAUAAUGGUAUUUACGCAGCUAAUCAACGUCAGGCGUCCUUAUGUGCAGCCAUCGUUGUUCUCAUAGAUAUGAAUGAGUAGAUAGGACACGCCCCUUUGAGCUGCGUGCUACAGCGAGGCUAAGCUAGUGAAGGCAAAGUUUCAGUGCAUUCCGUUGAUGUAGACGGCGUGAAAACGGAAACAAGUAUGCCGGCUCACUGUGCUGCAUACAAUUACACACUGCAUCGUACGAUUGAGACAAGGAAACUUGGAAUGACUUUUCAUAGGUUUCCCAGAGACUAUGGGUUGAGGAGGAAUUGGAAGUUUGUCGGCUUAGACCUGGUGUCAUUCCAUCAGUGUUAAACUUCCCGGCUCAUCUUGGAAGAGUACGUGCCAGAAAGACCAUGACCAAGCAGCCUUGAGAUCUUAGGCAGCGUCUCCCUGAGACCAAAGAACUACAGACUCUUCACAACCUGCUCAAACUCUUGGUACAGGACCUCACCACACAGGUCAAGAAGGUUUCCAUCUCAUUUCUACUCUGAAGCUCACCUUCUCCUGCUCAAAAUGCUGACAAAUGUUUCUGCUGCUCUAAAGUCUGCUCUCCAGAACUUCCUAAAAACUCUCAAAGUCUCUUCUGCUGCAGGUUGCUUUGUAGAACUGUUCCAGAAAACCUCACUAAACCACAUGGA